rnacentral:rRNA from 1 species
AGCGAACGUUAGCGGCGGGCCUAACACAUGCAAGUCGAGCGAGAAAGGGGCUUCGGCCCUGAGUAAAGCGGCGGACGGGUGAGUAACACGUGGGUAAUCUUCCCUUGAGCGGGGGACAACGGUCCGAAAGGACCGCUAAUACCGCAUACGCUUCUGAGGACUCCGGUCCCUGGAAGGAAAGCUAGGUCGCAAGAUCCGGCACUCGAGGAGGCGCCGGCGUAGCAUCAGCUAGUUGGUGGGGUAAUGGCCUACCAAGGCGAAGACGCUGUAGCUGGUCUGAGAGGAUGAUCAGCCACACUGGGACUGAGACACGGCCCAGACUCCUACGGGAGGCAGCAGUGGGGAAUAUUGGACAAUGGGCGCAAGCCUGAUCCAGCCACGCCGCGUGAGUGAUGAAGGCCUUCGGGUCGUAAAGCUCUGUGGGGAGGGACGAACCGCUGCACGUGCAUAGCGUGCAGCAUGACGGUACCUCCUUAGCAAGCACCGGCUAACUUCGUGCCAGCCGCCGCAGUAA